UCGCUCCUUCAACAAAUCCGGCGCUCCCUCUAUCGUUGCUCCACUUCGCCUCCGCCCAUUCAACGCCCAGCCCCUUGGCCUUGGGCCUUCGCCUUCCACCUUGCCACCUCGCUUGCUGUCGCCAUGACCGCCGGUUGGGCCCUCUACCAUUUGCCCUACCACCUAUCAGUAACAUAGUGCCGCCACUGGUUGGGACUCCCCACAGCCUACCCAUAAAACCUUUGGUGCCUUUCCCCAUCGCACAUGUUCAUGGGUUCGUCCCGAAACGUGACUUUUAUAUUGAUUCGCGUGCAUGGAUCGCCGAACAUCCCUUCCUCUGCUCUCUGCAGUCUCUCACAGGAUAAAACGACAACAAGCGAAGCAACAGCACAAACAGCAACGCUUCAGCGAACUCGAAGAGAAGCGUGGACACUUUGAGGUCGAAUUUUCUUCUACUAUUCAAUCGGCUACAGGAAGCAAUGGAAGGCUACUGUUUCUGUUCGUGAGCCUCGACUCCCAAAGGCCUAUCCCUUGAGAAAUGAGUUUAAGGUCAGACAUGUUCAUGUUCGCAAAAUAUAUCUUUUCCCUUGACGGUGGUGGUCUGGAAUCUUGAUUUUGCCCUUGAAUGGUUAAUAUACAAGUUAUAAAGCCAUGAUUCUACUGUCUUGCAUAAAGGUAUCUGAGUCGUGCCUUGAAGGCUAAUGAAUAAAGGUAUCUAGCUUCUCAUUAGGAGCUCAGCCAUUAUCGUUGACAGAAUGAAUCCAAAAUUUGCUUAGUUCCACCAACAGAGUCCAAAAAACGCAGUCUCAGCCUACCUCAGUUCUACAAUAAGGUUUCCAGAUUGACAUAGAAAGGUAGAGUGACAAACUAAAAAAAAAAAAAAAACUUGGUUCAUGAUUAAAUUUUGUUAAAACUAAGCAGACAAAAUUAAAAUGCUUAAUAUUCUAGCAUAAAGGCAAUGAGAUUUAUUUUUAAGGUUAUCACCUUAUUAUGGAGGAAUAAAGUUGUAUAAUGGAUAGUACUGAUUAGGUCUUAUGUUUUUUCUUUAUAUUGUGGAGGGAAUGGACCAGGUCACUUAAUGGAGAGUAUUGAUUAAGCCUUACGUACUGCUAAGAAAACAAAUUUGCAUGUUAAAAAUAAUAAUUAAAGUUAGAACCUAGAGUACUGUAAGAUAAAAACAAUCAUGAAAAAAAAUCACUUAUCCAAAAAAUGAGUAAAAUAAUCAUGAAAAAGAAGUUGAAUGGUGAAUAAUUUCAGGGGAACUAAAAGAGAGUAAAUAGCUUUAAUAUUCUCGACAAGUACUUGCUUUUGAGAAAUUGGCGCAUGCUUCAAAAAAUGCCCAAGGAAAACCCACUGACCACUUAAUUUUGCACCAUCAUUAUGUCCAAGUCAAGGCCAAAAGAUCCAGAGUAUACACAUUAAGGAAAAGAUAAACAGCUUAUUGAUUCGACUGAGCAAGAAAACAAGUGCUUAAAAACAUAAGACAGCUUACUGUGAGUAACCGUACAAUUUUGUGCCUACAACGAAUAAACCGAGAUCGAAAACAGCCUUUUGGGAAUGUAAAACAGGCGGGUGUAACUGCACAUGCAGUACAAAUGUGUCAGCCUCAUCUAAUUUAAAAAUAAAUAAAAGCAUCAAAAAGAAAAAAUAAAAGUAAAAUUGAGUACAAGAUGAAAUGCAUCAUUUUUGCAAACACCAUAUAAACAGUCAUAAUACAACCAAUUACAUGGUGGAAGGCUUAAAUAUGUCUCGAGCCCUGCAGCAAACAUUACACAAGGAGUUAUGGUUAACCAAAGGAACAUAUCUGCUUUGAGUCAUAUAGAACACCAUAGAAGUAGAAAUCUUUCUUAAGAGAUGGAUAAUGCUAGCAAGAUAAACAAUAUAUUGAGUAAUUGGCAUCAUAUGAAGAAACAUGAAUAUUAGCAUAUUAACAAUGAAGAAAAACAUGAAUAAUAGCAUAUUAGCAAGUCUUGGUUGAGCAAUUUCUAAAUUAGUCUCUUAUAAACUGAUAAUAUCCAUUUUCUUUGUCUUAAAGGAUCCAUGUAUUGAUAUCUGAGGACCGUCACUACUCAUUAAAUUCCCGGUGUUAAUCCCAUUAAUAAAUCCUGCCUGAUACAAUAAAAAAUAAACCAAGACCACAGUCACCAAAUAUAAAAUUGAAAAGCACGUGUCUAUGCGUGCAUGUAUCUGAACAGUCAAAAUUUCAAUUUUACCUAUAUUGUGCACACGAAAUCGAACGUUCUUUGUUCUAUUUAAUCUUUUAGUUAUUGUAUAUUUAACCUUCAUUUUUUUACCAAACCUAGAGUUUCUAAUCUAUGACGAUUAAUGAAAAAGUUCCGACGAAAAAAGAAAAAAACUAAUAUUAUUGAUAAUAAUGCAAUUAUCACGAGUUUUAUGACAUGUUUAAUCCUAGAGAGAAAAAAAGGCACAUCUAUUGAAAAGAUUCAGAAUAUCACAAGGACAGGAUCGAAUAAAUCACUAUGUAUAGGCGUAUGUCCUGUAGAAUGAAUAAAUUACUUCACUCGGUAUAGUAAAUUACUUAACUUUUUAGUAAAUUACUAACAAAAAAAAGGUAAAAUACACAAAUUUCCAAAUAAUUUGCCCAAAUUUCAAAGUUACACAAUAUUCUAAGUGUUUUACAAUGAUUUCAAAGAAAUUUACUUAAUUAGUAAAAUACUCAUUAUUUACUUAAAAUUUUAAGUAAUUUAUUUGAUUGUAUGGUGCAAUCAGAUUGCACCAUAGAAUUUUCCCAUUCUCAUUGUACAAAGAAACAGCUAAGCAGUAAAAAUUGUACAUGCUAAAUAUCUACAGCUGUUUGAUUCUGGGCAACUAAACAUGAGGGUUGCGCUCGUUGCUGGACUUAACCCAACACCUUACGGCACGAGCUGACGACAGCCAUGCACCACCUGUAUCCGCGUUCCCGAAGGCACACCUCUCUUUCAAGAGGAUUCGUGGCAUGUCAAG